GAUGAACGCUGGCGGCGUGCCUAAUACAUGCAAGUCGAGCGAACAGACGAGAGUGCUUGCACUCUCUGACGUUAGCGGCGGACGGGUGAGUAACACGUGGGUAACCUACCUAUAAGACUGGGAUAACUUCGGGAAACCGGAGCUAAUACCGGAUAAUAUUUAGCUUCGCAUGAAGCAAUAGUGAAAGACGGUUCUGCUGUCACUUAUAGAUGGACCCGCGGUGUAUUAGCUAGUUGGUGAGGUAACGGCUCACCAAGGCAACGAUACAUAGCCGACCUGAGAGGGUGAUCGGCCACACUGGGACUGAGACACGGCCCAGACUCCUACGGGAGGCAGCAGUAGGGAAUCUUCCGCAAUGGACGAAAGUCUGACGGAGCAAUGCCGCGUGAGUGAAGAAGGUUUUCGGAUCGUAAAACUCUGUUGUAAGGGAAGAACAAGUACGUUAGUAACUGAACGUACCUUGGCGGUACCUUACCAGAAAGCCACGGCUAACUACGUG
rnacentral:rRNA from 1 species